UACAGAGGGUGCAAACGUUGUUCGGAAUUACUGGGCGUAAAGCGCGUGUAGGCGGCUUCGCAAGUCGGAUGUGAAAUCCCGCGGCUCAACCGUGGAAGUGCAUUCGAUACUGCGUCGCUAGAGUCCUGGAGAGGAAGGUGGAAUACUCGGUGUAGAGGUGAAAUUCGUAGAUAUCAAGUGGAACACCGGUGGCGAAGGCGGCCUUCUGGACGGUGACUGACGCUGAGACGCGAAAGCAAGGGGAUCAAACAGG
rnacentral:rRNA from 1 species